rnacentral:rRNA from 1 species
UGGGCGCAAGCCUGAUCCAGCAAUGCCGCGUGCAGGAUGAAGGCCUUCGGGUUGUAAACUGCUUUUGUACGGAACGAAAAGCCCUGGGUUAAUACCCUGGGGUCAUGACGGUACCGUAAGAAUAAGCACCGGCUAACUACGUGCCAGCAGCCGCGGUAAUACGUAGGGUGCGAGCGUUAAUCGGAAUUACUGGGCGUAAAGCGUGCGCAGGCGGUUUUGUAAGACAGAGGUGAAAUCCCCGGGCUCAACCUGGGAACUGCCUUUGUGACUGCAAGGCUAGAGUACGGCAGAGGGGGAUGGAAUUCCGCGUGUAGCAGUGAAAUGCGUAGAUAUGCGGAGGAACACCGAUGGCGAAGGCAAUCCCCUGGGCCUGUACUGACGCUCAUGCACGAAAGCGUGGGGAGCAAACAGGAUUAGAUACCCUGGUAGUCCACGCCGUAAACGAUGGAUACUAGCUGUUCGGCGCAAGUUGAGUGGCUAAGCGAAAGUGAUAAGUAUCCCACCUGGGGA